rnacentral:rRNA from 1 species
UACGAAGGGGGCUAGCGUUGCUCGGAAUUACUGGGCGUAAAGGGCGCGUAGGCGGAUGUUUAAGUCAGCGGUGAAAGCCCAGGGCUCAACCUUGGAACUGCCAUUGAUACUGGACAUCUUGAGUACGGGAGAGGUGAGUGGAACUGCGAGUGUAGAGGUGAAAUUCGUAGAUAUUCGCAAGAACACCAGUGGCGAAGGCGGCUCACUGGCCCGGUACUGACGCUGAGGUGCGAAAGCGUGGGGAGCAAACAGG